rnacentral:rRNA from 1 species
UACGGAGGGAGCUAGGCGUUGUUCGGAAUUACUGGGCGUAAAGCGCACGUAGGCGGCGAUUCAAGUCAGAGGUGAAAAGCCCGGGGCUCAAGCCCCGGAACUGCCUUUGAAACUAGAUUGCUAGAAUCCUGGAGAGGUGAGUGGAAUUCCGAGUGUAGAGGUGAAAUUCGUAGAUAUUCGGAAGAACACCAGUGGCGAAGGCGACUCACUGGACAGGUAUUGACGCUGAGGUGCGAAAGCGUGGGGAGCAAACAGGG